rnacentral:rRNA from 1 species
GGGUUGUGAGGUUAAGCGACUAAGCGUACACGGUGGAUGCCUAGGCAAUCAGAGGCGAUGAAGGACGUGCUAAUCUGCGAUAAGCGUCGGUAAGGUGAUAUGAACCGUUAUACCCGACGAUUUCCGAAUGGGGAAACCCAGUGCAAUCCGUUGCACUAUCGUUUGAUGAAUACAUAGUCAAACGAAGCGAACCGGGGGAACUGAAACAUCUCAGUACCCCGAGGAAAAGAAAUCAACCGAGAUUCCCCUAGUAGCGGCGAGCGAACGGGGAGCAGCCCAGAGUCUUAAUCAGCAUUAGUAUCAGGAGAACGGUCUGGAAAGUCCGGCAGUAAAGGGUGAUAGCCCCGUAUCUGAAGAUGCUAGUGUUGUGAACUCGACGAGUAGGGCGGGACACGUGUUAUCCUGUCUGAAUAUGGGGGGACCAUCCUCCAAGGCUAAAUACUCCUGAUUGACCGAUAGUGAACCAGUACCGUGAGGGAAAGGCGAAAAGAACCCCGGCGAGGGGAGUGAAAUAGAACCUGAAACCGUGUACGUACAAGCAGUGGGAGCCUUGAUUUAUCAGGGUGACUGCGUACCUUUUGUAUAAUGGGUCAGCGACUUAUAUUCUGUAGCAAGGUUAACCGUAUAGGGGAGCCGUAGGGAAACCGAGUCUUAACUGGGCGAAUGAGUUGCAGGGUAUAGACCCGAAACCCGGUGAUCUAGCCAUGGGCAGGUUGAAGGUUGGGUAACACUAACUGGAGGACCGAACCGACUAAUGUUGAAAAAUUAGCGGAUGACUUGUGGCUGGGGGUGAAAGGCCAAUCAAACCGGGAGAUAGCUGGUUCUCCCCGAAAGCUAUUUAGGUAGCGCCUCGUGAACUCAUCUUCGGGGGUAGAGCACUGUUUCGACUAGGGGGUCAUCCCGACUUACCAACUCGAUGCAAACUACGAAUACCGAAGAAUGUUAUCACGGGAGACACACGGCGGGUGCUAACGUUCGUCGUGAAGAGGGAAACAACCCAGACCGCCAGCUAAGGUCCCAAAGUCAUAGUUAAGUGGGAAACGAAGUGGGAAGGCUCAGACAGCCAGGAUGUUGGCUUAGAAGCAGCCAUCAUUUAAAGAAAGCGUAAUAGCUCACUGGUCGAGUCGGCCUGCGCGGAAGAUGUAACGGGGCUAAACUAUGCACCGAAGCUGCGGCAGCGAUAUGUAAAUAUUGUUGGGUAGGGGAGCGUUCUGUAAGCCUGUGAAGGUGU